rnacentral:rRNA from 1 species
UACGUAGGGUCCGAGCGUUGUCCGGAAUUACUGGGCGUAAAGAGCUCGUAGGUGGUUUGUCGCGUUGUUCGUGAAAACUCACAGCUUAACUGUGGGCGUGCGGGCGAUACGGGCAGACUGGAGUACUGCAGGGGGAGACUGGAAUUCCUGGUGUAGCGGUGGAAUGCGCAGAUAUCAGGAGGAACACCGGUGGCGAAGGCGGGUCUCUGGGCAGUAACUGACGCUGAGGAGCGAAAGCGUGGGGAGCGAACAGG